AUGAGAGCGCCCCGAUUUUGGAGUUUUCUCCAGAUUAAUGAAGUCUGUGGCUGCAGAGGACGGAAAGAACGAGCCAGAUGCAGUUUUAGUACAGAGGAGAGGAAUGCAGAGCGCUGUGGCCAGUUUCAAAAGGAAACAUCACUGAACAGCAGAGGGGUGCAGAACAUCCGAUCUGUAAAUAACAAAACUUUAUUAACAAAACAGAGGAAGGCAAAGCACAGCUGAAGGCCCACUUCAGAGGCACAGCAGCCUACAUUUCCCAUCAGCCAUCUGCUAAAAGUGCCACAAUAAUAAUAUGAACAUCCAGCAUUAUUACAGAUAAAUAUUGAAUCACCACUCAGAUUUACUGCAUAAUAAGAGCAUCUACAGCAGCCUGGGCCAUGCUCGUUCCUCUGCUCUGUAGCGCCAUCUAGUGCCUCAUCAGCUCGGUUACAGUGGAAGUACAAUCACAGCAGCCUGGGGGUCAAAGGUGAAAUGAAACAGACUUUCUGUACCGCAAACUACACAACAUAACAAUCGACACCUCAACGGUUUUCAGACGUCAGGACCAAAAUAAGGAAGUUAAAACUGUAAAAGAGGAAGGAAAACCACCUGGUUUAGGAUUCCCGGGGUCAACCGAUUCUCCCAAGCACCCCCCAGCCUCUCCCACUUUGGAAUAUCAGACUCUAAUAAAGUUACAUUCUGCUGCAAAGGAUGGUUUCAAGUUUAAAAGUGAAGUUGUGAUUUUUUGCGUUACAGGAGAGGCCGGUGCAUUAUCAGAAUAAUCACCGGAAAACCCCAAAAGGGUCGCACUUUAUCCCGGUUUUCCAACUAAUUCACGUUCCUGUUUCACUGAAUUUUUUUUGUUUAUUCACGGAGCUACAUAAACUUUAAAAUGGCAGUUUUAGUCGCAUUUGUAUUUUUAUUUAUUUGAUGGCAUAAAAGAAAGCCAGCGAGAGAUGAAACCUGACGAGUAAAUCCAGCAGCAGCUGGGUCACAUGCUUUUAAAGCUUCUUCAUAAUAAACAAGCUCCUUCCUACCAACAGGUGGAAUUCCUCGUUAAAGGGGUUACCAUGGAUACAGCUUAGGCACAGUCAGUACUAACGCUAAAACCUCAGGUCUUAUGUUUUCACCACAUUCAGCUCGUUACUUUUCUAUGUACUACAGUGAUCCGUCUCUGUGGGUCGGUCCAGUUGAGUUGUUUGGUCUGAAGUAGGCA
rnacentral:lncRNA from 1 species